rnacentral:rRNA from 1 species
CCUACGGGUGGCAGCAGUGGGGAAUAUUGGACAAUGGGGGGAACCCUGAUCCAGCCAUGCCGCGUGUGUGAAGAAGGCCCUCGGGUUGUAAAGCACUUUCAGUGAGGAAGAACGCCUGGUGGUUAAUACCCAUCAGGAAAGACAUCACUCACAGAAGAAGCACCGGCUAACUCCGUGCCAGCAGCCGCGGUAAUACGGAGGGUGCGAGCGUUAAUCGGAAUUACUGGGCGUAAAGCGCGCGUAGGUGGCUUGAUAAGCCGGUUGUGAAAGCCCCGGGCUCAACCUGGGAACGGCAUCCGGAACUGUCCAGCUAGAGUGCAGGAGAGGAAGGUAGAAUUCCCGGUGUAGCGGUGAAAUGCGUAGAGAUCGGGAGGAAUACCAGUGGCGAAGGCGGCCUUCUGGACUGACACUGACACUGAGGUGCGAAAGCGUGGGUAGCAAACAGGAUUGGAUACCCCAGUAGUC